rnacentral:rRNA from 1 species
AGUACACGUUGGAACCUGCCCCAAAGUGAGGAAUAAGCCACCGAAAGGUGGUCUAAUACUUCAUAAUAUCCAUCUCGUAUGGAUUAAAGCUUUAUGCGCUUGGGAGGGGCCUGCGUAACAUUAGCUUGUUGGUGAGGUAAAAGCUCACCAAGGCUUCGAUGUUUAACUGGUUUGAGAGGAUGACCAGUCACACUGGGACUGAGAUACGGCCCAGACUCCUACGGGAGGCAGCAGUAAGGAAUCUUCCACAAUGGGGCAACCCUGAUGGAGCAAUACCGCGUGCAGGAUGAAGCGUUUCGGCGUGUAAACUGCUUUUAUCACCGAAGAUUAUGACUGUAGGUGAAGAAUAAGGACCGGCUAACUACGUG